rnacentral:lncRNA from 1 species
GUUAAGCUCAUAAAAUGAAAACUGGCCGAUUCUAAAACUGUUAUCACAAACAAAAAGCCAUAUAAUUUUUUUUGUAACAUGAAGAUUCUAUCCUAGGCAGAAAUCUUUAAUCUCAAACUCAAAACUACACCAUGUAAUAUUAGUUUCAUUCUAAGUGUCAUUUAAAUUCUAGAGCAUUUAGGUUUUGUUUUUGAUAUUUUUUUUCGGUUAAGAUAUUGAUACGCGAAGCAAUUGUUUAGGACGCGUUUCUUUCUCUUAAAUUAUUUUUUUUCACCGCUCUCUAGAAAGUUCGCCGUUUCUCAUAUUUUCUGUGCUCCGGCGGUCGCCGCGUCCUCCUUUCGCGGUCGUCGGAGGCCUGCCUCCUUUUGUCUCCGCUUCUCCUCGUCUCUCCCUGUAGUCUUUUCUGUUUUGCGGCGGAGGGCAGCUAGACGAGUCAACCUCUUCCGGUCCAGAUCCAAAGCUCACGUCGUAGAUCUAGGAGGCUCUCGGUACGGUAAGUGGUGCUUGAGGACGGCGUUCGCCUUGUCGCACUUGUCUCCUCCUCUCGGUUGUGGUCUUUGUCCGGUGAGAUUUUCCAGAUCUCGUUUGGCUCUUCAGGUCAGGCGUCGCGUGGGUCGUCGGUGGUCUCUUCCAAGGGUUCUCCUCCUCCUUCAGUGUGGCUUGUGGCUGUCGUGGGGUUGGGGCUCUUCUCGGAGGUCCGGUCUAGAGCUUUCUGCUCCGGGCUCAAGUUUAGAGUUUUGUUUUCCACCGGUGGUCUCUGGUGGAUUGCGUGGAGGCUUCUGAGGUUGGGUCUCGACUUUCCUCUUGAUUGUCUCCGGUGGCGACGCUAUGUGGUUAGCUUCGGUGCUCCACUUCAAAGCAUGUCUUGCCGGUGGUGUGGCGCUCAUCGCCCCUGUCUUUCCUCCAUGUGCUUCUUGCAGGUACUAUUGCUCUGAUGUGGGUUGUAGUGAUCGUUUUUGAUUAGUGACAGGCUGUCAAUUGGGCAUUUGUGUUGUGCUCUCGUUCGAUGUUAGCUGCUCCGGAGGUGUGUACCCUUCCGGUCCCUUUGUUCUAUAUGAACCUUCGGUUAAAAGGGUGUAUACGGUCACGGUAGGCGGAUUUGGAAGCAGCAAUCUUCGAGUCUUCCUUUCGUACGAAGGCAUCGUCGGAUUGUGUCACUACCUAGUGCCGUCGGUCGUGGUUCGUGUCGGGUGGAGAGUCGGUUUGUGCUUGUGAUUCUUUGGACUGGUUUGUGUUCGGUGGGUCUCUAGGAAGCUGUGAGCACCCUGCGUUCAAGGUUUGAGGAGGCCUUUCUCUCGGGCUCCUUCCUGCUCCGCUCCUGGUUCCCUGGUCUGAGCUUGCCUCAUUGCCUUCUGUUGCUCUGACUUCAUCUCUCACCAUUAAUGUGCUUAUGUUCUUGUACUGAAACUUGUUGUUUAUUUUUCUGCACUUCUACUAGUCAUCUUGUAAUUUCUGUCAAAAACCCAAAAUUUUGGUAUAAUAAAUUUAACAUUUUACCAAAAAAAAAAACAAUUAAGAGUCCUCAUCACUCUAUGGUUCAGGUUGUCUUCCACGACGAC